GCAUCCAGGCUGAAUGGUUAAAGCACCCAACUCUAAUUGGCGAAUUCGUAGGUUCAAUUCACUGGAUGCA
rnacentral:tRNA from 1 species